rnacentral:rRNA from 1 species
CCUACGGGAGGCAGCAGUGGGGAAUAUUGGACAAUGGGCGAAAGCCUGAUCCAGCCAUGCCGCGUGAGUGAAGAAGGCCUUCGGGUUGUAAAGCUCUUUCGACGGGGACGAUGAUGACGGUACCCGUAUAAGAAGCCCCGGCAAACUUCGUGCCAGCAGCCGCGGUAAUACGAAGGGGGCUAGCGUUGUUCGGAAUUACUGGGCGUAAAGCGAACGUAGGCGGUGUUCCAUGUCAGAGGUGAAAGCCUGGGGCUCAACUCCAGAAUUGCCUUUGAAACGGGGACGCUUGAGUCCGAGAGAGGGUGGCGGAAUUCCUAGUGUAGAGGUGAAAUUCGUAGAUAUUAGGAAGAACACCAGUGGCGAAGGCGGCCACCUGGCUCGGUACUGACGCUCAGGUUCGAAAGCGUGGGGAGCAAACAGGAUUAGAUACCCUGGUAGUCCACGCCGUAAACGAUGAGUGCUAGUUGUUGGGAAGUUUACUUCUCAGUGGCGCAGCUAACGCGAUAAGCACUCCGCCUGGGGAGUACGGCCGCAAGGUUAAAACUCAAAGGAAUUGACGG